UGGACCGAAACUGGGGCAGCUCGGGCGGGUCGGGCACCUGGAAGCCGCAGGUACUGCGGGAGGCGUCGCAGCGCGCUAAUUUAAGGGCCUAGUACGUGGCUGUGUGCCCGCCGGGCAGCCGAAGCCCAAGCUCCAGGCUCGCCUUCAAAGCUCUGUCGCCUGCUUCAAAAGUACAACGAGUGUUACAGGACUUAGAGAUGAAAAAUAUUCAAGACAUUCUUGCUCAAAAUUUAAGCGGAGGACAAAAGAGGAAACUCACUUUUGGGAUUGCCAUUUUAGGAGAUCCCCAGGACUUCCUCCUCCUGUUUUAGGAUGGCUGCGUAAUUUCAGGCUAUCGUUUCUGAAUUCCCAUCAAGAGAAAGGCGGAAGUACAGGAGAUGAAUGUAUUCCUCACCUCCACUUUUAUAACACUUCUUGGUAAUUUUGGGGAUGCCCAUAUGCCUAUCAGAAAAUUAGAGUUCUCUUCCAGAGAAAAAAAGGGAGAAUAUGGAAUAACAAGAAGUCUUUGCCAGAGGUUACUGACUUCCCACUAACUCUCAAAUAGAGAGAGAGAGAGAGAGAGAGAGAGAGAGAGAGAGAGAGAGAGAGAGAUGAAUUUGGAAUUCCAAAUUGCAAAAUCAUCCAACCCCUCCUAGGCAAAAGCCCAUUGGAUUGGCAAGGCCCAGAGCUGAGCUACCAGUAGAAUGAGUUCAAAACAACUCCAAGGGUAUUUCUAAGUAAUGACUAAAUGACCUGUCACAAUAUCUGCUUGCAUUCUUAUGAAUUUCACCCUUCAUAUUCAUAGGGAAGUGAACUUAAUCUACAGAAGUAUCACUAUACACUUAUGUUUGUGUGUAAUACUGUCUCUGCUAAUUAUGUUAAAAUGAUUCUGCUUCUUUAUACAUAAGAAAUUUUAGAGAGGAAAAUGUUUUUAUUUUAAUGGACUUGUUUCAAAUUUUGUAAUACUGGUAUUAACAGUUUUAGCAUGUGUCCAGCUAUAAACAAAACUGAAGAGAUGGUUUUAUAACAUCCUCUUAUUCUGUAGUUCCUCACUCCAAUGGGCUGGUUACACAAGCUCCAGACCAUCACCUUUCCUCUCUAUUGUUACCUUUUUUUCAAAUUCCCAGGUCCUUACUGUUUUCACAAUAACCUACACUUUGGUACUUAAAUCUGUGCAAAUGCUUCAAUGGGAUUGGAAAACAUAAAGCUCCUUCUAGUCAUGACAUUGGUCCUUCUGUUUCAGAUUCUGUUUCUUAAGCAUCUUUCCAGUUGCAGACAGGAUCCAAAAAUUUGGCCCACCUACCUCUUUUUUCCAGCAAUCACACAUCUUCUGUAUUCAAAACCUGAAUUUGGAAAAUAUUCUCUCUUGGAUUCCUAGUAAAAUGGCCUGUGGUAAUUUGGUAUUUAUAAAAUGAUCAUUAUUGACUUCAUCUUCUCUAUGUUAUUUUAGCUUGUCUCUGCAAACUCAUCCAAGCAGAGGUGUGAUAGGCCAGGCAUUUGAAAAGAGAAAUUCUGGCCAUGGCCAUGUAAUUUGAAGGAAAUAGGCAUAAAGCUAACUGUGAGAGAUUUGUAGGACUAGGGAGGAUGAAAAUGUAAAUAACCUAAUGUGGAUUCUGUAAUAACCAUAUACAGAAUGUCUGUGACUACAAAUCAUAUUCUUCUAGAUAUGAGUCCUCACACCAGCUCAAAGGAUUAUAGAAAGAAUUCUAUCAUUAGGACAAUACUGAUUAGCUUGGAUGCAACUGCCUUCAGUAGAUAUGACACAUAUGCAACACAUGAAUCCAAGUCUAUUUUCCUAGCAUUUCUCUGUAAAAAAAACUGCAGUAGGCAUGGAUCCAUAAAAUACUAUCAGGCAUGGUUGUCCUUUGAGCAAUGCUCUCUAUUUUUAGGAUUUGUAUGAGCAUUCCUUACACAAUAUUAACAAUUUUAUGUUUUACAUAAACAUAAAUGCUUCAAUGUGCAAAUGCUUCACAUUUUUUACAGCCUUCAAUGUUUUACAGCCUCCUUUAAAAUAAAGAUUUAUUUUUGUGUAGAAGAACUGGGGUGUAGGUGAGAGGUGCAUGGGGUGAGAGACUUCAUCAGAGACAGAAUGGGGAGGAGAACAGGAUGAUUUACUGAAAUACACUGCUGAAGGGAAGAGCUGGUGAGAAAGAUCUCCUGCGCCAUGUGGGUUAGCUCACUGGCCCAGUAUCUAACUCAGGCGGCAGUGGUGAUAUUGCUGAGACUUAACAAAAAAUCAAGAGGGCCUCCCUGGUGGCGCAGCAGAUUGAACACAGCGCUGUGAAGCUGUCUGCAGCCUCUGCAGUGCGGGUUCGAUUCCCGGCUUGCCGCUCUCCUGUCACUGCUGCUCCCCUCAGCAGUGCUUUGGGUCUGUCUGCCUGUUCUGCUCCCCACGUUCUGGUGAAUCUUCUCACCCUCCCGCGCCUCUGGCCUGUAUCCCAGCUAUUGUAUAAAUAAAAAAUAAGUCUUUUAAAAAAAUUAAACAAUUCUACAGUCAAUGUCUUUGAGAUAUAUAAUUCCAUGUAUUUUCCUUUAACUUAAACACAGAAGUAGGUACCUUUAUGGCAUACUUAAUUUUAUAGUGCAGACGGACUUAAUCUUAGAAAUUGUUAAAAUCUAUGCUGCAAAAACAGUUACCAAUGUUUUUGAUAACUGAAAACAGUGACAUUAACAAGUGCUUUAUAUUAGUACAAAAAGUGGAAUGCUUUCUAAGGAGCCAAGGUGUUAGAUUAAAAAUAAAAUUCAAAACAAUCUGAACAAUACUUAGGCGAACAUCUAUGCUAAAACUUAUGCUAAGUUACUAUUCCAUAUUGCCACAUAAAAGAUUUUUUACUUGAAAAAUGCACACUAAACUAUUUUCUAAUUGAGGUUUGAAUUUUUUUAUUAAGACAAAAUAGGGUUUAGAAAACCCAACACUUUUUUUCACCUUUUCUAACACGAUAGGUACUUAAAUUAUUAACUAUUGUAGCCUGCGUAUUUAUUACAUAUUGUGUAAGAACAUAUUCAUGUUCUUGGGGAGCUGGGGCAUCAUGGAAAUAUUUUUUUUUAUUGCAAACUAUCACGGAAUUCAGGUUUUUUAAAAGAAUAAAAUUACAAACAUUCCUUGUAAUAAGCAUUUAUAUUAUACUUUUUGGACUAUUAGAAUUUAUUUUCCACCUUUGCUAUCAUCUCACUAUUUUUAACACCAAGAAGAAACCACAAUUUAAAUCUAUGUUCUGCUUAGCAUGUAGACUCUUUAAAGAGGAAUACCAUUGCAUCACAGUGCUCAGAGAAUUCUUCCCAUCUUACAAUCAGGUAAUUUGUUUUUAGCAUGCACUUUUCUAGAGGGAUGAACAAUACAUCACUUUAUCUACAAUAUGUUUCUAAUAUUCUAGACAAUUUUAUGUGUUUACAACUUUUUUGCCUCCUGUUUCAUUUUGGGGGAACAAAUCAAGGUACUUAAAAGCUAAGAGCAAAGGUAUAGGAAAAGCGGGCAGUCGGUCCUAGAUACAAAUAUUAACUCCAUGGAAAAUUAUAAGCUCCAGGAAAGCUGAGACCACCCCAAACCCUGCUGUUUCCCAGCAUACUGCACAUGGUAGGAUCCAAAUAUUUGUUUGAUGAAUAAAGAACUCUUCACAACAUGAGAAGUCAUCUGCUACCCUACGUAAAUGAUAUACUUACCUAAAAUUAUCAUCUCUGAUGUAAACAACUUUCAAGAAAAGUAGAUUAUGAAAUGUUUGACAUACAAUGAACUAGAAUUUGUAUUGGUUGUUGUCCUGGUGCUUCAAUAAAAGGCAUGAUAAUGGAGAAGUCACUUGAACAUCUCUGGAUCUCGGUGAAUGAAUUUAUAAUUAAAAAAUUUGGUUAGCUGGGAAAUUCUAAAAGUCAAGUACUAACUUGCUUCUCAAUUCUGAAAUCACUUAGUGAGAUAUGAGACUACAAAACUUUCAGUUUAUAAUAGACAAUGAGUAUUAGAAAAUUUAAAAUUUUUA